rnacentral:sRNA from 1 species
AGUUCCUCAGCCUCAGUGCUGUGAAGGUGACAGCGUGAGGUGACCCAGCUGGCCCCCCGCGAUGCUGGCAGCACGGCGGCUGCUCGGCUGGUCGCUUCCCGCGCGGGUAUCUGUGCGUUUCAGCGGUGACACGCCUUGUAGGGCGUGAAGGGGUCAUUGCCCCAUUUAGGGAUGCGCACCUCCUGAUUUCCCGUCCACUGCUCUGCGCCCUGAAGUGGCUGAAAAGUGCUCUUAAAAGGAUGGGAAUCCCGUCGCCCUCAGCUGGGGCGCUCUCCACUGGGUCGUGGGGCUCCUCAUUUCAUCCUCAGUGAGCCCCUCCAUCACCUGUGUGUUAAGGAGGCAUUUCUUUCCCAUCAGUAAACACAUUUCGCCUCUUCGGCCGAGACAGCACCCAAGAAAACCUCAUUUGGCUCGCUGAAGGAUGAAGACCGGAUUUUCACCAACCUGUACGGCCGCCAUGACUGGAGGUGAGACAGUGCCCUUAGUGUGUUGGGUCCCGGAGCAAGGCAUCCCCUUCACUGCCUUCCCUAUUCUGUACAGGCUGAAAGGUGCCCUGAGUCGAGGUGACUGGUACAAGACAAAGGAGAUCCUGCUGAAGGGGCCCGACUGGAUCCUGGGUGAGAUCAAGACAUCGGGUUUGCGGGGCCGUGGAGGCGC